rnacentral:tRNA from 1 species
GGGCCCAUGGCUCAAUUGGUUAGAGCAACCGGCCCAUAACCGGUUGGUUCCAGGUUCGAGUCCUGGUGGGCCCACCA